rnacentral:rRNA from 1 species
UAUUAUUCUAAUAAUAAAAUUAAUCUCUAGAUUAGUAGUAGUUAUUUACUUAAAAUUUAAAAAAUUUGGCGGUAAUUUAAUCUUCCCAGAGGAAUUUGUUUCUUAAUCGAUAAUCCGCGGAAUAUCUUGCUUGUUCUAUUAAUAGUUUGUAUACCAUCAUUAUCAGGUAAUUUUAAAAGAAAUAAUUACUAAAUAUAGUUAAUUAAAAAAAUUAGAUCAUGGUGCAGCUUAUGGAUAAGAUGAAAUGAAUUACAAUAAAUUAUUUUAAUACGGAUUAAUAGAUGAAUUUUUAUUAAGAAGGAGGAUUUGGUUGUAU